rnacentral:rRNA from 1 species
UACGUAGGGGGCAAGCGUUAUCCGGAUUCGCUGGGUGUAAAGGGAGCGUAGACGGCGACGCAAGUCUGGAGUGAAAGCCCGGGGCCCAACCCCGGGACUGCUCUGGAAACUGCGUCGCUGGAGUACGGGAGGGGCAGGCGGAAUUCCUGGUGUAGCGGUGAAAUGCGUAGAUAUCAGGAGGAACACCGGUGGCGAAGGCGGCCUGCUGGACUGCAACUGACGUUGAGGCCCGAAAGCGUGGGGAGCAAACAGG